CCCUUAGAUGUUCUGGGCAGCACGCGCGCUACAAUGGUCUUCGCAAACGGAUGCAUUCUCGAAGGAGAAUGCCAAUCUUGGAAUCUAUGCCUUGGUCGGGACAGUUGCUUGCAAUUUUUCGACUCGAACCAGGAAUUCCUUGUAAUCGUGAUUCAUCACAUCACGAUGAAUACGUCCCUGCCCUUUGUACACACCGCCCGUCGCUCCUACCGAUCGAAGAGUUAGGUGAAUUGUUUUGAUCGAUAAGAUUUGACUAUGGUCAACUCCCGUUGUGAAAUUCUGUGAAUCUGACUGUUUAGAGGAAGGAAAAGUCGUAACA
rnacentral:rRNA from 1 species